rnacentral:rRNA from 1 species
GGUUAAGCGAAUGAAGCGUACACGGUGGAUGCCUAGGCAGUCAGAGGCGAUGAAGGACGUGCUAAUCUGCGAAAAGCGUCGGUAAGCUGAUAUGAAGCGUACUAGCCGGCGAUAUCCGAAUGGGGAAACCCAGUGCAUUAAUGCACUAUCGUUUGAUGAAUUCAUAGUCAAACGAGGCGAACCGGGGGAACUGAAACAUCUCAGUACCCCGAGGAAAAGAAAUCAACCGAGAUUCCCCCAGUAGCGGCGAGCGAACGGGGAGCAGCCCAGAGUCAGCAUCAAUAUUUACCGCAGGAGAAGGGUCUGGAAAGGCCGGCAAUAAAGGGUGAUAGCCCCGUAUCUGAAACGGUAAGUGUUGUGAACUCGAAGAGUAGGGCGGGACACGUGUUAUCCUGUCUGAAUAUGGGGGGACCAUCCUCCAAGGCUAAAUACUCCUGACUGACCGAUAGUGAACCAGUACCGUGAGGGAAAGGCGAAAAGAACCCCGGCGAGGGGAGUGAAAUAGAACCUGAAACCGUGUACGUACAAGCAGUGGGAGCACCCGAAAGGGUGUGACUGCGUACCUUUUGUAUAAUGGGUCAGCGACUUAUAUUCUGUAGCAAGGUUAACCGCAUAGGGGAGCCGUAGGGAAACCGAGUCUUAACUGGGCGUUAAGUUGCAGGGUAUAGACCCGAAACCCGGUGAUCUAGCCAUGGGCAGGUUGAAGGUUGGGUAACACUAACUGGAGGACCGAACCGACUAAUGUUGAAAAAUUAGCGGAUGACUUGUGGCUGGGGGUGAAAGGCCAAUCAAACCGGGAGAUAGCUGGUUCUCCCCGAAAGCUAUUUAGGUAGCGCCUCGUGAAUUCAUCUUCGGGGGUAGAGCACUGUUUCGGCUAGGGGGUCAUCCCGACUUACCAACCCGAUGCAAACUACGAAUACCGAAGAAUGUUAUCACGGGAGACACACGGCGGGUGCUAACGUCCGUCGUGAAGAGGGAAACAACCCAGACCGCCAGCUAAGGUCCCGAAGUCAUGGUUAAGUAGGAAACGAAGUGGGAAGGCUUAGACAGCCAGGAUGUUGGCUUAGAAGCAGCCAUCAUUUAAAGAAAGCGUAAUAGCUCACUGGUCGAGUCGGCCUGCGCGGAAGAUGUAACGGGGCUAAACCAUGCACCGAAGCUGCGGCAGCGACAUUUAGAUGUUGUUGGGUAGGGGAGCGUAGUCGAUGGGAAACGGGUUAAUAUUCCCGUACUAAGGGUUACUGCGAAGGGGGGACGGAGAAGGCUAGGCUAUCCGGGCGACGGUUGUCCCGGUUUAAGCGAGUAGGUGGGUAGUGCAGGCAAAUCCGCACUGCUACAACACUGAGACGUGAUGACGAGCCACCAAGGUGGUGAAGUAGUUGAUGCCCAGCUUCCAGGAAAAGCCUCUAAGCGAUAGGUAAUCAUUAAUCGUACCCCAAACCGACACAGGUGGUUAGGUAGAGAAUACUCAGGCGCUUGAGAGAACUCGGGUGAAGGAACUAGGCAAAAUGGUGCCGUAACUUCGGGAGAAGGCACGCUGGCAUUAGGUGAAGGGUCUAGCAUCCGGAGCUGAAGCCAGUCGAAGAUACCAGCUGGCUGCAACUGUUUAUUAAAAACACAGCACUGUGCAAACACGAAAGUGGACGUAUACGGUGUGACGCCUGCCCGGUGCUGGAAGGUUAAUUGAUGGGGUAAGCUGUAAGGCGAAGCUCUUGAUCGAAGCCCCAGUAAACGGCGGCCGUAACUAUAACGGUCCUAAGGUAGCGAAAUUCCUUGUCGGGUAAGUUCCGACCUGCACGAAUGGCGUAAUGAUGGCCAGGCUGUCUCCACCCGAGACUCAGUGAAAUUGAACUCGCUGUGAAGAUGCAGUGUACCCGCGGCAAGACGGAAAGACCCCGUGAACCUUUACUAUAGCUUGAUACUGAACAUUGAGCCUUGAUGUGUAGGAUAGGUGGGAGGCUUUGAAGUGUGGACGCCAGUCUGCAUGGAGCCAACGUUGAAAUACCACCCUUUAAUGUUUGAUGUUCUAACUUGGGCCCGUAAUCCGGGCUGAGGACAGUGUCUGGUGGGUAGUUUGACUGGGGCGGUCUCCUCCCAAAGCGUAACGGAGGAGCACGAAGGUUGGCUAAUCACGGUCGGACAUCGUGAGGUUAGUGCAAAGGCAUAAGCCAGCUUGACUGCGAGCGUGACGGCGCGAGCAGGUACGAAAGUAGGUCUUAGUGAUCCGGUGGUUCUGAAUGGAAGGGCCAUCGCUCAACGGAUAAAAGGUACUCCGGGGAUAACAGGCUGAUACCGCCCAAGAGUUCAUAUCGACGGCGGUGUUUGGCACCUCGAUGUCGGCUCAUCACAUCCUGGGGCUGAAGUAGGUCCCAAGGGUAUGGCUGUUCGCCAUUUAAAGUGGUACGCGAGCUGGGUUUAGAACGUCGUGAGACAGUUCGGUCCCUAUCUGUCGUGGGCGAAGGAAGAUUGAGGGGGGCUGCUCCUAGUACGAGAGGACCGGAGUGGACGCACCACUGGUGUACAGGUUGUCAUGCCAAUGGCAUCGCCUGGUAGCUAAGUGCGGAAGAGAUAACCGCUGAAAGCAUCUAAGCGGGAAACUUGCCUCAAGAUGAGUCUUCCCUGACAGUAAUGUCCUAUAAGGGGUGUUCGAGACGAGGACGUAGAUAGGCUGGGUGUGUAAGCGUAGCGAUACGUUAGCUAACCAGUACUAAUGACCCGAGAGGCUUAACCUG